UACGAGAGGCCCAAACGUUAUUCGGAAUUACUGGGCUUAAAGAGUUCGUAGGCGGCGCAGAAAGUAGGGUGUGAAAGCCCUCGGCUCAGCCGAGGAAUUGCGCUCUAAACUACUGUGCUUGAGGAAGCUAGAGGUGAGCAGAACAGAUGGUGGAGCGGUGAAAUGCGUUGAUAUCAUCUGGAAUACCGGAGGCGAAGGCGGCUCACUGGGGCUUUUCUGACGCUGAGGAACGAAAGCCAGGGUAGCGAACGGG
rnacentral:rRNA from 1 species